rnacentral:lncRNA from 1 species
UUCAAAAGAAACUCAAACAUUCGGAAAUCAUUUUCACUACCAAGAAAGCAAGUUAAGAAAAAUAGUUAUUUCCAAGAAACACUUUGACUGGAUAUCCUCUCCGACUGGAGUUUGAGCCUUCAUUUUACUACUGUCACCAGAACUGGAAAUUUCUUCAAUGCGGUCAGGUUCUACCCAAACCAGCCACCCUUUCUCUUCCAUCAUGACUGAUUCAUGAAUUUGUGAAUGAACGUGUGCCUUCGUCAAACCACAAGCUGAGUCUUCCACUGAACUUGAAGCCUACUCAUCCCUUGGGACUCAACAAGAGCCAUUUUUUCAGCUCAGAUCCAAGGUAAAGAAAGCAUAUGGCACUGUCUCAUUAGUGGCUUUUUUCUCUCAACCACAUAUGUGCCCAUAAUCUUUCAAUAGCUUUCCAG